rnacentral:rRNA from 1 species
UUGACCUCGGAUUAGGUAGGAAUACCCGCUGAACUUAAGCAUAUCAAUAAGCGGAGGAAAAGAAACCAACAGGGAUUGCCCUAGUAACGGCGAGUGAAGCGGCAACAGCUCAAAUUUGAAAUCUGGCCCUAGCGGUCCGAGUUGUAAUUUGUAGAGGAUGCUUUUGGUUAGGUGCCUUCUGAGUUCCCUGGAACGGGACGCCAGAGAGGGUGAGAGCCCCGUACGGUUGGACACCGAGCCUCUAUAUAGCUCCUUCGACGAGUCGAGUAGUUUGGGAAUGCUGCUCUAAAUGGGAGGUAAAUUUCUUCUAAAGCUAAAUACCGGCCAGAGACCGAUAGCGCACAAGUAGAGUGAUCGAAAGAUGAAAAGUACUUUGAAAAGAGGGUUAAAUAGCACGUGAAAUUGUUGAAAGGGAAGCGUUUGCGACCAGACUUUUUCCAGGCGGAUCAUCCGGUGUUCUCACCGGUGCACUUCGCCUGGUUUAGGCCAGCAUCGGUUCUCUUAGGGGGAUAAAGGCCUGGGGAACGUAGCUCCUUCGGGAGUGUUAUAGCCCCUAGCGUAAUACCCUUCGGGGGACCGAGGAACGCGCUC